AUCUUGUGUUGUUGAGGCUGAGGACUGACUGGGGUUCUGAGACUCCCUGUCCCGGACCGCAGCGUUAAAAGGAUCUGAACAAAGUCUGCUCAAAUCUCCUGCUGUGAACCAGCAGAAUUUUUGAACAGAGACCACGUCUCCACCUCCUGGGCUCCAACGAUUCUCCCAUCUCGGCCUCCCAAAGCGCUGGAAUUACAGGUUUCUUCACAUAUAAAAAUCUAUUGUAAAAAUACGGAAAAGAAUGGCAGCGGAAACGCAGACACUGAACUUUGGGCCUGAAUGUCUCUUACAGAUGUGUUUGGACCCCGAAUAUGGAAUUCUCAUGGAAUUUUGAGAUCCAUCACAUUGUAGUGUGGCUUCCCCCCCUCCCCUCCUUCCUUUUUCCCCAAAGUUGGUGAUUGAAGAUCCUCUCUUCAGUGGCAUCAAUAAUAAUAAUUACUUUUUCUAUUCAAACCUCGGGCAACCCCUUUGGUAAUAUCAGAAGUAGUAUCUAAAAUAGAUAAAUUGGAUUUGUGUCUUAAACUCUUGGUUGUUCAGGUGGGAGUGGUUCAAUAAAUGAUGCAGACU
rnacentral:sRNA from 1 species